rnacentral:rRNA from 1 species
UACGAAGGGGGCUAGCGUUGUUCGGAUUUACUGGGCGUAAAGCGCGCGUAGGCGGUUUUGUAAGUCGGGUGUGAAAUCCCCAAGCUUAACUUGGGAACUGCAUUCGAGACUGCAUAGCUAGAGUAUGGGAGAGGGAAGUGGAAUUUCAGGUGUAGCGGUGAAAUGCGUAGAUAUCUGAAGGAACAUCAGUGGCGAAAGCGACUUCCUGGACCAAUACUGACGCUCAUGUGCGAAAGCGUGGGGAGCAAACAGG